rnacentral:tRNA from 1 species
GCGGCCGUGAUCUAGAGGUCAUGAGCGGUAUGCAGCCAUAUACCGAGCUUGGGUUCGAUUCCCAACGGCCGCA